UGGGGAAUAUUGGACAAUGGGCGAAAGCCUGAUCCAGCAAUGCCGCGUGAGUGAUGAAGGCCUUAGGGUUGUAAAGCUCUUUUACCCGGGAUGAUAAUGACAGUACCGGGAGAAUAAGCUCCGGCUAACUCCGUGCCAGCAGCCGCGGUAAUACGGAGGGAGCUAGCGUUAUUCGGAAUUACUGGGCGUAAAGCGCACGUAGGCGGCUUUGUAAGUUAGAGGUGAAAGCCUGGAGCUCAACUCCAGAAUUGCCUUUAAGACUGCAUCGCUUGAAUCCAGGAGAGGUGAGUGGAAUUCCGAGUGUAGAGGUGAAAUUCGUAGAUAUUCGGAAGAACACCAGUGGCGAAGGCGGCUCACUGGACUGGUAUUGACGCUGAGGUGCGAAAGCGUGGGGAGCAAACAGGAUAGAUACCCUGGUAGUCCACGCCGUAAACGAUGAUAACUAGCUGUCGGGGCUCUUAGAGCUUCGGUGGCGCAGCUAACG
rnacentral:rRNA from 1 species